GUAGGGAAUUUUCGGCAAUGGGGGAAACCCUGACCGAGCAACGCCGCGUGAGUGAUGACGGCCUUCGGGUUGUAAAGCUCUGUUGUAAGGGAAGAACGGUAGAUAGAGAAUAUCUAAGUGACGGUACCUUACCAGAAAGCCACGGCUAACUACGUGCCAGCAGCCGCGGUAAUACGUAGGUGGCGAGCGUUAUCCGGAAUUAUUGGGCGUAAAGGGUGCGUAGGCGGCCUGUUAAGUAAGUGGUUAAAUUGUUGGGCUCAACCCAAUCCAGCCACUUAAACUGGCAGGCUAGAGUAUUGGAGAGGCAAGUGGAAUUCCAUGUGUAGCGGUAAAAUGCGUAGAUAUAUGGAGGAACACCAGUGGCGAAGGCGGCUUGCUAGCCAAAGACUGACGCUCAUGCACGAAAGCGUGGGGAGCAAAUAGGAUUAGAAACCCUAGUAGUCC
rnacentral:rRNA from 1 species